rnacentral:lncRNA from 1 species
UCGGGUGUCCCACAGCCUCCCUCAGCCUCCCACACAGGGGAGGUGUUCCACCCCUCGGUGGCACUCAGCUCACCCCCUCCAUCGUGGCACCUGCAGACAAACGGCAGGGCACAGCUGGGGCUACAGGGACGGGAAUGCAGACUGGGAGGGGAAUCAGGGAGCCGCCAUAGACAAAGCUGAUGGCCCCAGCCGGGCUGUGCCACAUCUCCCUGCUGGGCGCUCACAGGCACAGAGGAGAAGGAACAAGAGCAAUUCUUCCUCCUAUCAAAUUAUCUGCAAAACCCAACCGUGACUCAUCCAGCCCCGGGACACCUGGGAUGCCCAGGAAGGUGUUGUGUGAGUUCCCGUACCAGACCAGCAGCUCUUGAUCCGGAGGGAUCAUCUAGAGAAGGACACACAGAUGAGGGUGUUGGGAUGGCACACCAAGCAGCUCUACCCGCAUCCUCAGCCGGUUGUUUCAGACUCCUGCAAGGUCCCACUGCCAUCGGCACUGCUGAAUGCCCCCAGCACUCCCCAGGAGAGGAGGCAGGCACAGCGCUGCGCACGCUGACAGUGAUGGCAUCACUCAGCACCAUGUACUGCUGGCACUGAGCUGCACCUCGAUCUUCCCCAGGUCCAGGAGCGGGAAAGGAAGCAGCAGUGGGGCACAGAUCCUGCACAUCCCCAUAGCUCAAGGAGACGGAGGUGUGGCUGCACACACAGACACGUAGGAAUAAGCUAUUGCGUACCCACAAACUGCAGCAAGGUGCAGGGAGCAAUGACACAGAGAUGGGAUUUGGUGCCAUGCACAGUGCAUGGAGCCCUCGGCACUCCCUGUUGCAGGACACAGCAGCAUCUCCCACCCCAGCAGGGUUAUUCCCCAGCAGUGCAAAUUCAGGUAGAAAUACAGAUGCAGCCAUGGGCUCGGAGAGCUUAGGGAAGCAGCCGAGAUCCCAGCGGCUGCUGCAGGAGAGCAUGGUCCAGGCAUGAGAUGCUGCCUCCUCCAAAGCCCCAUUGCCUACACCAGCCCAGAGAGCAGGAAGGGCUUUUCUAUCGGCACUGCUCCUGUUCCUAUGGGAUGAUGGCACUCCUCCCACCCUUGAUGUUUGGGUUCUGGUUCCGCACUGCAGUGAGAGCAGCCAGGAACAGCGCCCGAGCAGCUCCUGCAGCACAGCCACGGCCAGAGGAUGGAUGUGCUCACACCACAGCAGCCGUAUAAGGCAACGCU